GAGCCGUGGCACUGUCAAGUCAUCAGACGCGGUGAUUGCGAGGCCUGUGGGAAAGUACAAAAGCCUGGGCUAGAUUACCCCUCUCAUCGAGCCCGCCUGUGUGGCACCUGUUUCUUAUCACCCCACUAAGUUCCCGCCUCACAGGGUAGUCUGCCUAGCUAUUAAUCCUAUAUAUAGCCAGUGCCUCCACCCCCGAGAGAGAGAGAGACUGAAGCACAAAAGGAGCCGCGGGGAGCGGACCGGUAGAGGCUUCGGGGGAGACUGAAGCACAAAAGGAGCCGCGGGGAGCGGACCGGUAGAGGCUUCGGGGCAGACUGAAGCACGGAAGGAGCCGCGGAGAGCGGACCGGUAGAGGCUUCGGGGCAGACUGUAUAAGGAGAGAAUAAAGAAAAGCCUGACCACCGCCAGACCUUGUCGUGUGUCUUUCCUGCCGGCCAGGAGCGGACAUCGACAGUCUUUGACAUCUUUCAUUAAAGUGAUUUUUAGGAGUUCUGAACUUGUUGAUCUGCAGGCCGGAUCAAGUGGCGCCCAAUGUGGGGCUCCUGGCACGGAGAAGUUAACAAGGGAGCCGUUCGAGAGACAGCCAGCUUAAACUAAAAGUAAAAGCGAAUUAAACCAGAGACCUCGGCCGAGGAAUGAGUAAACUAAAUCAAGGAUUAAAGCUUAAAGCAACAGGACAUUAAAUCAAGUGCCGAGACUUGCACAGACGACUACCCGACGUCCUGCCCGAGUCACGGUGACACAUCUCCCUAGAGCCUUAUGCUGCUUAGCCAGCCUUCUUGAGCCACACCACAUCCAUGGUGGAUUUUGACCCCUGCCAAACAGACUACAACUGCUGACAGCCAUGCACAGAACCCCAUGACUGCGAAAGAGGCUCUUCUCGGUCUGGAGAAACAUACACCAGCCAAAUAGACUACAUCCGGUGUUAUGCAAGGCAUGCUCCAACACAGGAGAAUGACUUCAUACAGAGACACCAACAAAUGGCUGUCAACCCCUUCUCCUUGAUUUGGGGGGGGGGAGUUUUUCCCUUACCUAAUGCCCCUUUUGGGUCCCCUAGCUGACCUAUUGUUUCUCAUUUCUGUGAGUCUUGUAUUUUUCAGAGGAUUAUGAUUUUCAUUAAUAACCGGAUAGACACAUUUAUGGCAAAGCCCAUUCAGGUAUACUAUCAUCAGCUAGAGAUGGCAGAUCAACAAACCUACAGGGAAGGAAUUCCCACGAGUGGCCCAUAUGAUGAUGCGGCCUAACUGCCCUGGGGCAAUGGACAGGCAGUCAGAGACGGGCAACUAGGACAUGCAUGUUAAUUCCAACGGCCACCUAAAACAGGCACAAGACCAACUGCUGUUCUGCAAGCCCAUGACGGGUAAGGCCUGGUUGGGUUCAUGCAAUGAGGUCCUUGACCUAAGACAGAUGCUGUCCUCAAAGGGCCUGCCAUACUCUUAAUUAAAUAAUAUAAAAAGGGAGGAGAUGUAGGGAGCCAAGUGACAGGCAUUGCUGCCUCGAUGUCUCUCUCUCUCUCCUAUGGGCACUGCGUCUGCCUACAUUAACCAUAAUCCUCUUCUGCUUACGUCACGUAUCCGGAUGUGAUGGUAACCCUGUUGUAUUCAUCUGUUUAACCUCUUCCUGUCCCAGCUCCCGCCCUUAGCCUAUAAAAGGUGUGAUUAUUUCCUGAAUAAACCGGAAGUUU